AAGAUUGAAAACCUUCCCUUUUAAGGUUGGGUUCUAUGGUUGGAGUCAAAAUUGCUCUUAGUAGCACUUCCUCCUUUUCUUUCUUUUUCCUUUCUUGUCUUUCCUCUUCUUGUUCUCUUCUCUCUUUUUCUUCUCUCUUUCUCUUCUCUUCUUCUCUUCUUGUUCCCUCUCUUCUCUCUUCUUCUCUUCUUAAUUCCUCUCUUCUCUCUUCUUCUUCUUUCUCUCUUUGCUCUUCUCUCUUUCUCUUCUCUUCUUUCCUUUCUUCCUUUUCUCUUCUCUCAAUCUCUCUUUCUCUUUUCUUAUCCAUGAUCUCUUUAAGUCUUGCCCCAAAUUCUAACUCUCUCC
rnacentral:lncRNA from 1 species